GACGAACGCUGGCGGCGUGCCUAAUACAUGCAAGUCGAGCGGAUCGUUCCUUCGGGAACGGUUAGCGGCGGACGGGUGAGUAACACGUAGGCAACCUGCCUGCAAGACUGGGAUAACUAACGGAAACGUUAGCUAAUACCGGAUACGCGGUUGAAUCGCAUGAUUCGAUCGGGAAAGAGGGUUUCGGCUCUCACUUGCGGAUGGGCCUGCGGCGCAUUAGCUAGUUGGUGGGGUAACGGCUCACCAAGGCGACGAUGCGUAGCCGACCUGAGAGGGUGAUCGGCCACACUGGGACUGAGACACGGCCCAGACUCCUACGGGAGGCAGCAGUAGGGAAUCUUCCGCAAUGGACGAAAGUCUGACGGAGCAACGCCGCGUGAGUGAUGAAGGUUCUCGGAUCGUAAAGCUCUGUUGCCAGGGAAGAACGGCCUGGGGAGUAACUGCCCCAGGCAUGACGGUACCUGAGAAGAAAGCCCCGGCUAACUACGUGCCAGCAGCCGCGGUAACAC
rnacentral:rRNA from 1 species